ensembl:lncRNA
CACAGGUUCUCCUAUUUCAGUCAAUGAGCUCUGUGUUGGAGUUGGACUCUUGGACAGUUCUCUGCCAAUUGCCAUUGUUGUCAGCGUACUCAGAGUACUUUUUUCAGUUUCUGGAUUGUGCCUAAUUAACAUUGUUUUUAAGCAGGGUGCAUACUUAUCAACCUAUAUAACUGUGGGGGAGAGGCAUCAAAUAAUUGAAAUAUCAACUCGAACUGGAGGACAGGAUAUAUAACAGACUUCACGUUUUCAACACAACAAUACAUCAGACUCUUCUGGCCAGUGAUCACCUUGGACGGGUAGGAACUGCACUCAGAAGGGGUGAGGACUAGAAGUCAUAUCAGGUAACAACUGAUACUACCUUUCACUGUUUUUCAUAUCACUGUCUUGUACUUGGUUCUAAUUAGUUCAUAAAAUCUCAGUCUAAUCACACUUGGAUCAUUGUUUCUGCUACUUUAAAUAGAAGAAAUAGAAGAAAUCCAUUUUUUUUUUUUUUUGUUUUUGUUUUUUUUAAAUAGGCAGUUGAGAAAUGUUUAAACCUGUGUUGAAUGGCCUGGAUUUGCAUAUUCAAAUGUGAUUCUCGUAUUUUAGUCAUCAAUAACAGUUGUCUGUUAUAAAUUCAAGAUAAGUUCAGAUUUUUCAGAUAUAUCCCUGUUUCUUUAAAGAAUACGUUAAAUUCUCACCAGUAACAGUGAAUAGUUUUCGCAUCUGAACAGUUUCCUUGCUCAAUUUUGUUCUGCUAAAAGGAUUUAUUCUAACAAAGACAUGUUUGAUAAUGUUUGGGUUGAUAAUGUGUUUCGAUUGCAUUCUGCCCAAUAAACGUUAAUAUACUAAAGUAAAUAUCGAACGUAGGUGUCAGUUGAUGGGGAAGACUCUAUUAAUAACAUGGCUGAAGGAUUGAACAUGGUCCUUCACACUGGAAAUUUCCAGUCAUAAAAUGUUCUACCUUUUUAAUCACAUCAUUAUUAUGGCAAUAUAAACCAGGAAGUAUACAACAAUAAUCUAUUUUUUUAAAAAGCGUUCUGAAAUGCCCCAACAUUUUUGCUAAGAUAACUCAAUGUUAUUGCUAAUGUGCUCAUUUCAUUGUCAGACUCAUUCGUGGUGUUUUAUGGCAAGAAUACAGGCUCAGUGAUCCAUAAGUGUAAUGACCAGGGCUGAGUUUCUAAAGCAUCGCAGCACAAAGAUCUUGAAUGGUACAGCGAGCAUCCCAUUAAACACUCUUUCUACUGCCUACUGUUUUAUGAAUACUGAGAAUUCAGACAUACUAUUCCUUUGGCGUAAUGCUUUUCGCCUGCAGUAUAGUAGGGUUGUAGGGAUAUUCAGAUGCAGCCCUGGUAUUGUGGAGCACUCUAAUGUUUCCACUAGGGUGUUGCUAUAAAUAUUGAAGAGUCUUAGGCUCAGGCAAAGUUGGAUUUGCAAGUGGACAUGUACUGAAAGCCAACACGAAAGAGCAAAUCUCUGGUUUUAAUUAAGCCCCAAAUUGGGCAUGAAACUUCUUAACAUGACUGUACCAUAGAUGGAAAUCUUGUGUCCUAACCAGCCUUCAACCUUCAACCAAGCUUUCAACCAUUUAUUGCACCAAAACUGAACCAUGGCCAACCAGAUGGUGAAUAAUACACAAUAUUCUUAAUUAUAAUGCUUUUUAUCUUGUAGCUUGUAUCAUUUUACCUUAUCUUGUAUGCAUCACCAGAUACAAGUACGUAUCAAUCAACUCGUGGCCUUCUGCUUACUUACACUGUAUGGCCACCUGACCAUCACACUGAUACAGUAUGUGCUUUAAUCUCACUGAACACCUUUUGGGAUGAACUGGAACACCAACUGAGCCGCCCGACAGCAGUGUUUGACCUGACUAUUGCUCUUGUGACUGAAUGAGUACAAAUCCCCAAAAUGCUCCAAAAUCUAGUGGAAAGCAUUGCAAGGAAAGUGGAGGUUAUUAUGCAGAGGGGGACUAAAUCUAGCAUGGAAAGUUUAUCAAGCACAUAUGAGUGUGAUAGGUCAGAUGUCUACAUACUAUAAUGAAUAACUGGAAGGCUGUUAAAGGCUGGGUUGGGGCAGGAGAAAACUCACUUGCAGGUAAGCUCUAGCCCAUGGGCCUCCAUUUGAUAACUGGGAUAAUUCUAGAUUAAUUAUGGCUGGUACAUACAUAGCAUAUGAGAAGUGUUUUUCUUUUUUUAAGUGGCAAAUCCCUUUUUUUGUGUGUGUAUUUAUUAACUGUCAUAUCAAAUUUGUGACUACUUAAGUCUUUAGACCAUUAUUCCACCUCAUUGCUCUGUCAACUGCAAAUGGCCUUCAGGAUCUCUAGUUUUUCACCUCUAGCUAGCCUUAUAAAUAAAUAAAAAGUCUAUUAUAAUCAUCCCUGCUUUGAUAAUAGAGGGUAACAUGUCUAUGGUGGCCAGUGCCUCCCUUUUUCUGUAGGUUGAUAUGAGUCAGGUAGAGUGUGUGCUGGCCCAUUUUUCCUCUAGUAUUCAGCCUCCUUGGCAUUCCGGAGAUGAUAGAGCUUUCACAGCUUUUGACCUCAGUCCAGAUAUCCAACGAUAAAUAGGAAAGGUCAGCUUUCUGGACUGCUUUCUUGCAGAAGGCAUUGUGUCACUUACAUGUCUCCAUGUACACUCUUUCACAAACCAGACAUCUUUUGCACAUACAAACACACAUAUUAUUUUAUGGUUCCUGUUGAUCAGGGAACGAUCACACCAGUCCAUUAAUUUAAAAAUUUUAUGUGCAAUAUAUAAAAUUUUCUGGAGUUUUUACCAUUGAUAAA